GCCAGUGAAAUAUAGUGGUUUGAGUGUUGGAUUAUGACUCUGGAGACCAGGGUUCAAUUCCCUGCUCAGUCA
rnacentral:tRNA from 1 species